rnacentral:rRNA from 1 species
GGUGAGAGUGGCGAACGGGUGAGUAACACGUAGGUGAUCUACCCCUGGGGAUGGGGAUAGCCCAUGGAAACAUGGGAUAAUACCUGAUAAGCCCCAUACUUAGCUGUAUGGGGGAAAGGUGCGUAUGCACCGACCUGGGAUGAGCCUGCGGCCCAUUAGCUAGUUGGUGGGGUAAGGGCCUACCAAGGCGACGAUGGGUAGCCGGCCUGAGAGGGUGAACGGCCACACUGGGACUGAGACACGGCCCAGACUCCUACGGGAGGCAGCAGCUAAGAAUCUUCCGCAAUGGGGGAAACCCUGACGGAGCGACGCCGCGUGGACGAAGAAGGCGGAAACGUUGUAAAGUCCUUUUCUUGGUGAAGAAUAAGGGUGCGAGGAAAUGCGCAUCUGAUGACGUUAGCCAAGGAAUAAGCCCCGGCCAAUUACGUGCCAGCAGCCGCGGUAACACGUAAGGGGCGAGCGUUGUUCGGAUUUAUUGGGCGUAAAGGGCGUGUAGGCGGUUCUGCAAGCCUGGUGUGAAAUAUCCCGGCUUAACCGGGGAGAUGCGCUGGGAACUGCAGGACUUGAGUUCUGGAGGGGAAGCUGGAAUUCCAGGUGUAGGGGUGAAAUCUGUAGAUAUCUGGAAGAACACCGGUGGCGAAGGCGAGCUUCUGGCCAGAAACUGACGCUGAGGCGCGAAAGCGUGGGGAGCGAACAGGA